UACGUAGGGUGCGAGCGUUGUCCGGAAUUACUGGGCGUAAAGGGUGCGUAGGCGGUCCGCUAAGUUGGAUGUGAAAACUCUGGGCUUAACCCAGAGCCUGCAUUCAAAACUGACGGGCUAGAGUUCUGGAGGGGGUAGCGGAAUUCCUGGUGUAGCGGUGAAAUGCGUAGAUAUCAGGAGGAACACCGGUGGCGAAGGCGGGUCUCUGGGCCGAUACUGACGCUGAGGAGCGAAAGCGUGGGGAGCGAACAGG
rnacentral:rRNA from 1 species